AUUGAACGCUGGCGGCAUGCCUUACACAUGCAAGUCGAACGGUAACAGGUUAAGCUGACGAGUGGCGAACGGGUGAGUAAUGUAUCGGAACGUGCCCAGUCGUGGGGGAUAACUACUCGAAAGAGUGGCUAAUACCGCAUACGACCUGAGGGUGAAAGCGGGGGACCGUAAGGCCUCGCGCGAUUGGAGCGGCCGAUAUCAGAUUAGCUAGUUGGUGGGGUAAAAGCCCACCACGGCGACGAUCUGUAGCUGGUCUGAGAGGACGACCAGCCAGACUGGGACUGAGACACGGCCCAGACUCCUACGGGAGGCAGCAGUGGGGAAUUUUGGACAAUGGGCGCAAGCCUGAUCCAGCCAUGCCGCGUGUCUGAAGAAGGCCUUCGGGUUGUAAAGGACUUUUGUCCGGGAGCAAAUGCCUGGUGUUAAUAGCACUGGGAGCUGAGAGUACCGGAAGAAUAAGCACCGGCUAACUACGUGCCAGCAGCCGCAGUAAAAC
rnacentral:rRNA from 1 species